AGAUAUUUCAUAAGAAGCCCUGACGUGCAAACAGACAGCGGGCCAAGUACGUCCUGACGUGAAUGGAAUGCACGAUUAGCAUCAGAUGAUCUACACGAAACCCACCUUCCAAAUCUCGGUACCCCGAAAUCAAAUCACAGCACGAAAUGGUAUUUCUUUGACAUAUUCGUUUUGAGAUGGCCCCUCAAGUGAGGCUAAGUGUCACCUCGCACGGCGACCGACACAUCAGAGGCUACAGCGGUCUCAUCCCACCCAUCCGCUACAUCAUCGACUGCGGCUUGAGACCAAUAGCACUUCCUGAGGACGUUACCGGUGACGCCCACGGCCCCACUUAAGACCGUAGGAAUACACAGGACUAGAAGCCAGCGAGGAAGAUGAAAGUUCUGCGAUAAAUGUUUACCAACGAUAGGAACAAAUACACGAUUGAUGUGUUGAAUCAUUGUUGGACCCAAACUCGUAACUUGAAAAGGCCAUAUAUACCUGGUAUGGUUGCUUACACGCUACUAAAAUAUAGUAGCGCUACUAAAAUAUACGUCAUGGAAAACGGUUAUCUCCCUUUAAGAUGACUUAUCUCCCUUGAGUUUACGAAUUCAAGACGGCGUAACGUCAACUCUUUCCUCUCCAGAAUGGUAAUAAUGACAUUGGUGUGAUGGAAUGGCUAGAUGUCAGAUGAGUUAUGAUUUUAUGCCGCAAUAUUCUAGCAAUAUCACGGCGAUCCACACAAGAACGUGAGUUUACCCUUGUGUUGAAUCGAGCACGGGUCUUCCACGUGACGAGAGACUGCUUUAACCACAAGACUAUACCAUUACCCUGCCCAAUUCUCCUUUAAAUCCAGCUUCAAAAUAAUUAACUAUAUAAGGAACCUCUUGAUAGAAUUUCCUUUACAUGAAUCGUGCAGAACAUAAGGAGUAAUAAAACACUUGUAGGACGUACAUUCAACAUUAA